rnacentral:rRNA from 1 species
UGGGGAAUAUUGCACAAUGGGCGCAAGCCUGAUGCAGCCAUGCCGCGUGUGUGAAGAAGGCCUUCGGGUUGUAAAGCACUUUCAGCGAGGAGGAAGGUGGUGAGCUUAAUACGCUCAUCAAUUGACGUUACUCGCAGAAGAAGCACCGGCUAACUCCGUGCCAGCAGCCGCGGUAAUACGGAGGGUGCAAGCGUUAAUCGGAAUUACUGGGCGUAAAGCGCACGCAGGCGGUUUGUUAAGUCAGAUGUGAAAUCCCCGGGCUCAACCUGGGAACUGCAUUUGAAACUGGCAAGCUAGAGUCUCGUAGAGGGGGGUAGAAUUCCAGGUGUAGCGGUGAAAUGCGUAGAGAUCUGGAGGAAUACCGGUGGCGAAGGCGGCCCCCUGGACGAAGACUGACGCUCAGGUGCGAAAGCGUGGGGCAGCAAACAGGAUUAGAUACCCUGGUAGUCCACGCUGUAAACGAUGUCGAUUUUGGAGGUUGUGCCCUUGAGGCGUGGCUUCCGGAGCUAACGCGUUAAUCGACCGCCUGGGGAGUACGGCCGCAAGGUUAAAACUCAAAGG